ensembl:snoRNA
CCUCACCCAAGAAGCAUUGCAGGUGGCUGCUGUGUCACAUGUGUGUCAGUAGGUGACAGAGAAGAGAGAGGUUGUGUCUACACUCUGCGUUCUGACGUAUGAAUGUCUUGAUGAUUAGUAGCCUAACACU